GACGAACGCUGGCGGCGUGCUUAACACAUGCAAGUCGAACGGAAAGGCUCCAGCUUGCUGGAGUACUCGAGUGGCGAACGGGUGAGUAACACGUGGGCAAUCUGCCCUGCACUCUGGGAUAAGCCUGGGAAACUGGGUCUAAUACUGGAUAGGACCUUUCUCCUCAUGGGGUUUGGUGGAAAGUUUUUCGGUGCAGGAUGAGCCCGCGGCCUAUCAGCUUGUUGGUGGGGUAAUGGCCUACCAAGGCGACGACGGGUAGCCGGCCUGAGAGGGUGAUCGGCCACAUUGGGACUGAGAUACGGCCCAGACUCCUACGGGAGGCAGCAGUGGGGAAUAUUGCACAAUGGGCGGAAGCCUGAUGCAGCGACGCCGCGUGAGGGAUGACGGCCUUCGGGUUGUAAACCUCUUUCAGUAGGGACGAAGCGUAAGUGACGGUACCUGCAGAAGAAGCACCGGCUAACUACGUGCCAGCAGCCGCGGUAAUACGUAGGGUGCGAGCGUUGUCCGGAAUUACUGGGCGUAAAGAGCUCGUAGGCGGUUUGUCACGUCGUCUGUGAAAUCCUAGGGCUUAACCCUGGACGUGCAGGCGAUACGGGCUGACUUGAGUACUACAGGGGAGACUGGAAUUUCUGGUGUAGCGGUGGAAUGCACAGAUAUCAGGAAGAACACCGAUGGCGAAGGCAGGUCUCUGGGUAGUAACUGACGCUGAGGAGCGAAAGCAUGGGUAG
rnacentral:rRNA from 1 species